AACCAAAUCCUUCAUCGCCGUCUUCAUUCUUCUCUCAUCAUAUUCAACUUUUUCAAAUUCAUUCACACAAGUUUCUCAAUAUUCAGAACCCGAAGGUCAUGAUUCAGCCAACUGUUGAACAUUUUAACCUCCAGAAAUCACAACUGAUUCUUAUAAAGAAGUCUUGGGGAAAGGUGCUUUUAAAAAGUAUACAAAGCAUUAGAUGAAUUGGAAGGGACCAGAUAUCGAUCAUGAAGUAGCGGCUUACAUGACAGAUGGCUACUCAGGAAGUGAUUUGAAGAAUCUGUGUGUGGCAGUUGCACAUUUUCCAAUAAGAGAAAUUCUGGACAAGGAAAAGAAGGGGUGAUUACCGUGAUAUACUUAGCCUUACAAGAGUUUUAUUGCGUGGGUCCGAGAGCAAAUCAGAUGUUGACAUUAUUAUAGAAAGAAUUUAAAUGUGUUUAGAUCGAUGGGAAUGCCAUGGGGGCUGAGGGAUUUGUAAAUCUUGUGAUUAGGAAAGUGCAUACAUGUUGUUCGAUGAAAUGCCUGACGAAGAUUUUCAAGGUCUUGGUUCACAUUUCGAUAGUUGGAGCUGAUGCAUUUGAUUCUUUAAGAAUUCGAAGAGAGAUUAAUGGGAAAUGGCCCAUGCUUGAUUGUCCUCAAUGUAUGGAUAAGAAGGAACAAGCUAACACAAACUCUUUGGAAGUUGGAAAUCAUAAAGUUGAGAAAACACUUCUGGUGCCAUAAAAAUUAGGACCGUGAAGUCCAAAGAUUUGUCUGCUUCAUGGGUUUGGAAAAACCCCAUUGAUUACAAUCAAAGCAAAGCGGAGGACUCAAAGUCAUUGAAGCUUAGUAUGAUGAUUCAAGCUUGGUAUGAUGAUGCUGGUGGUGGGUUAAGACGUUAAGUUUCAUAGUCAUUGAAGCUUAGUAUGAUGAUGCAAGCUUGGUAUGAUUCAGAAAUGAUGUGAUUAUUAUAUUGAGUAUUAUAUGCCUCCAGCUUCCUUUUGAACUGGCGUAUGCACAUUUGUACGAGAUCAUUGGAUCAGAUAUCAUAAAGUUUGGGUUAACGACAAUUUACCUAUUUGCCAUUCAAUAUUUCACACAAAUUGGGGGUAAGGUGUCCGUGAAGUUAAUCAAGCGUGAAAAAAACGAGAGCUCUGAAUAUAGGGCUAACAAUUUGAUUUAAAAGGUGGUCGCUUGAUUUUUGAUUUGAAUCGCUUGGUGAAACGUGUGGGCAGAUUUAUUUCCAAACAUCUUUGCUUUGGAGUCCAACAAAAAUGAAAUUGUGGCUGUGAGAUGUCAAUCGUAGUGUCUCAAUUUGGUUUUGGGAGUGAAAAAAGGAACCAUUAUUGGAUGAAGAGCUGUUAGAGUUUGGUCUUUGUCAAAAUUUAAUUCAAGAUAUCACGCUCUGGGAGUCUACUAACCAGAUUUUGAAGAAGCGGGUUGACCAUUUCGAAAUAUGUUGGCCCUUUGAAUAAUACCAGGGCAAAUGAGACCUGCGGAGCUGCAUGAAGCACGGUUUGAGGCCUUUCAACAAGGGAUCUUGAAAGCUUCAAUAUUUGGAUGGGGUCAUCAGAAACCGGUAUUACUGUCCACUGGUGCACGAAAGAUACUUAUAAGGAUAUCAAAGUGUUGGUUUUAUUUGAAUCAUAGUGUUGACGUUAACACACAUUUUCACGGCCGCGUGGAUAAAGUUUCACCCACACCGAUUUCUAAGCCGUUGAUCGAGCAUUUAAUGCAUAGUCGUCAAUAGUGAAGUGCUGAUAAUGACGAUAAGCUACAUAUACGCUACAUAGCUAUAGUGUUAAAAUAGCGGGCACCAUAGUUGUUAACGGUGAAUAGCGACAAAUAGCGAUAAGGUACCUAUAUGUUACAUAGCCAAUAACGAUAAAUAGCGGGCAAUGAUUGUGAUUAAUGGUGGGUAUAAGUUCCGGGGGUGGUAGAAGGUGAUUGUGGUGGUGAUGGUUGACAAUUAUGGCGGACAAUGGUGGUUUGGUUUUUAGUGGUGCUCGGUGGAGCUAUGGAGAGUAACCGGGGUAGCCGGUGAGGGAUUAACCAGAGACGAGUCAAGUAACGAAUCAACCAUUGGUCAACAGCGGUCAAAGCUGGUCAAUAGUGGUUAACAUGUCAGACUCGGUUGGCAUUUGAAUCGGGGAAACUCGGUGAGGUUGAUUGGAUUAACAAGUUCAUUGAAUACUUCUCUUUUUUCUCGGGUCAUUAGUUCAAUUCGGGUCAACCAGUAAAAACAAAUCGAAUCUCUCAUGUAUACAUGCCUCUCAAUUAUUGAAACCUUAACCAAGCGACUUCAUCGUCUUCUUGAUUCUUUUGUACAUCAAACAAGAUCAAAGAUUUGUUUUCAGCGUCAUACUUCAAGUCAUGAAAAUAGUUUUUUAAUAAAAUGGCAUGCAUGAAGGUUUUUUAUUUAUUCUACAAGUGCGUUCACUGUCUUUGCUGGUGUUGGAUAAUGUACCUGAGAGGUUAAUUGUUUAUACAACAACAAAUAAUGGAGGUUUGUGAUUGACGAAGGCAAGAAUCCCGUAUAACAAAUGGGAAGUUAUUGGUUUGUGGGAUAGCUCGAAGCAAGCUUUUGAGAUUAUAUUUACAUUGGGUGCGCCUCAAACGGAUUCGAGGUAGAAGCUUCCUAAGAUUGAAUUGGUCAGACAAGCCUUCAAAACUCUACAACAUAUGCUUCAUAAGAUACCAUUGUGGGUUAAGAAUCCAGAUAUUGAUCGGGUAUGCAAUUCGCCGGGGAAUACUAUCCUACUUUUUAACUGAUGCGUACAUAUUGUAAUAGUGUUUUCAUGGUUGAUUGGAUUAACAAGUUCAUUGAAUACUCCACUUUUUUCUUGGGUUAUUAGUUAAUUUUAUUUGUGGUAUUUUGCA